CUCUUAUAAGACGAGAAGACCCCAUGGAGCUUUAAACCCAAUUAUAUCUCUAACCACUAUAACCAUUUAACCGCUUAGAACUUAUAUACUUGGUUUUAGGUUGGGGCGACCACGGAGCACAGCCAAACCUCCACGAUGAACGGAACAACCCCCUUAUCUGAGAAUUACGCUUCUAAGAAUUAGCACACUAACAUAAAAUGACCCAUUAUUGAUCAACGAACCAAGUUACCCUGGGGAUAACAGCGCAAUCCAUUUUAAGAGCCCCUAUCGACAAAU
rnacentral:rRNA from 1 species